GCACUUGAUAUAAGCAAUAAAUAUUGUGGUUUUAUCGACAUUAUUAUUGGAGAGAAAAUUACCUUAAAGUAAUGCGUGUAAUGUAUAAUGUACUGUUGACAUGGGCAUCAACAUUUUAUAUUCUUAACCAUUUCAGGGUAAAUAUAUUUUAUAAGUACCUAUUUAAUCUUACUUUUGUAGUUAAAUGUACUUUUUAAAAGCUCAAUUUGAAAAAAUCUGUUACCAUAAAAAUAAUGAUAAAUUGUAUGUUGAUUCAAUUGUACUGGAUACGUUUUCUUAAAGAGAAGUUUGAUAUGAGCAGGUAAAGCUCUGAAUAAGUAAUUUUUACUAUAUAUUUGCAUUUCUUUUAUGUUUUACAGUCUUCCCAAUUUUAAAAAGAAAAACAAACAAAGAAACAAAAAUUUUCUCUAAAAAUAUCUUUGAAGGAAGGUUCUCCUUACUGGCGUAGUCAGGUAACAGUUGGUCAAGACUUUGUAAAGAAACUGGUUUCUGUAAAGCCCAUUAUUAAUACUGUUUAUCUUUCAGGAAAAUUUCAAUGUAAUUACCCUAAGUUAUAAUUGGGGUAAAUCAUGAUUUAGGAAAUCAAAAUAAGGAGCAGCAUUUUAUUAUCCAUGAUUUCCAUUUAUUUGACUGAAGUUUUGCAGUAAAAAAAAUUUUCAAGUUCUUUCUACUUCAAUAAAUAGUAUAAUGAUGUUCAAACUUUA
rnacentral:lncRNA from 1 species